rnacentral:tRNA from 1 species
AAAUAAGAAGCAAACAUUUGCAAUUAGUUUCGACCUAAAAAUUUGAUUUAUUAUAUCCUUAUUUU